rnacentral:lncRNA from 1 species
GGGGGAGGAAACAAAAGAGCAGCACGAGGUGUUCCACGGGGUUUUCUCUAAUUCGCACUAAUUUCAGACUUUUCACAGGGAGAGGUCAAAAGUGGCGACGGCCCACAUUCUCACGCAGACGGGGCUGCACUUCAGCCAUCACAGCCCGUCCCACUGCCUCCUGCUGAGGUGCCUCUGCGGUGGAAAUGAGCGCGUCUAAGCCGAUGACAGUAGAAGAAUAACGUACAGCGAAGCUUGGCUUUGCCCCGCACUUGCUGUCGGGCCGGUCCUCGACCUUGCGUGGCGAGGCAAGGCUCAUUACCCGGGUGGCUUGAUUCGUGUCUCUCGGGCUAGAAAAUGCGAACCGCCACAGAUUUCUCCCAGCGUGACUCUUGGUGGCACGUGUCACACCACGGAGAGAUGAGGCGAGGAGUUCUCCUGUUGGCUGGUUAUUACCAACUACUGAGCAGAGGACACAUGUUGGCUUGUUCUUCGAUCACAUGAAUUACCUUGCUGAAUGGAAUAAUGGUUUUUGAAAAAUGGAAGCAGCAUCCUUCAGCUCUUUUGGGAGCCUCCUCACAACGCACUGGGUGCUGAUGAGCUUUCAUAAUUGCUGUAAUUAAUAAUAUUUCAUUCUUAGCAUUUUCAGUGUUACAUCUUGUCUUUGGACAAUUGACUGACUACGUCCAGCCCGGAUUUGCAGCCUUUGCCCAUGUCCGGGGUGUGAAGACAGCUUCUGCUUCCAGCUGUCAUCGGCCACUGCACGUGGCGUUGGGAAGCGGCGUGUGGGGUGGACUUCUCACUCUUCUAUAUUGUUGAAUCACACUGAUUCCAAGUACAUAGCCUCAAGGAUACAGAAGCAGUAACAUGUACUUAAGUAAUUGGAAAGUGGCCUUUUUAAUAUCUGUUACCUUUGUUUUUACGAUCACUGAAUGGUUAGUUUACCUGAUUUACUUUUGAGUGAUGGUCCUAUUUAGUAAUUGGCUUGCUGAAUUCCUAAAGUUUCCAGUUCCUAAGGUUUCAAUAAUCUGCUCUCUCCAGCUACUGAGAGCCCCAUCCGGGGCGCCCCUCCUCCCCUGAGCUGUUCCCAAGUUUUACAAUCUUCCCUCAAGUCAGGGACAUAACAGCUUAUAAAUAAAGGGCUAAAACAUCCUAGCAAAAGGAAGGAGGCUCCUGGGGUUUUUAAAAUACUGUAUGUAGUGCUGUCAUGAUUCUCAUUGCUUUGUUUCCAAGUAGUAUUCCACCUUAAGUUCAUACUGGGUAGAAUGAAUGGUUUUCAAGGUGCAAUAAUAAAGGCUAAGCUUUCAGUUCCCUUUUUUAA